AUUGAACGCUGGCGGCAUGCCUUACACAUGCAAGUCGAACGGCAGCGCGGACUUCGGUCUGGCGGCGAGUGGCGAACGGGUGAGUAAUACAUCGGAACGUGCCCUGUUGUGGGGGAUAACUAGUCGAAAGAUUAGCUAAUACCGCAUACGACCUGAGGGCGAAAGCAGGGGACCGCAAGGCCUUGCGCGAAUGGAGCGGCCGAUGGCAGAUUAGGUAGUUGGUGAGGUAAAGGCUCACCAAGCCUGCGAUCUGUAGCUGGUCUGAGAGGACGACCAGCCACACUGGGACUGAGACACGGCCCAGACUCCUACGGGAGGCAGCAGUGGGGAAUUUUGGACAAUGGGGGCAACCCUGAUCCAGCAAUCCCGCGUGAGUGAAGAAGGCCUUCGGGUUGUAAAGCACUUUUAUCAGGAACGAAAUACCACGGGUUAAUACCCUAUGGGGCUGACGGUACCUGAGGAAUAAGCACCGGCUAACUUCGUGCCAGCAGCCGCGGUAAUACGAAGGGUGCAAGCGUUAAUCGGAAUUACUGGGCGUAAAGGGUGCGUAGGCGGUUCGUUAAGUCUGUCGUGAAAUCCCCGGGCUCAACCUGGGAAUGGCGAUGGAUACUGGCGAGCUAGAGUGUGUCAGAGGAUGGUGGAAUUCCCGGUGUAGCGGUGAAAUGCGUAGAGGUCGGGAGGAACAUCAGUGGCGAAGGCGGCCAUCUGGGACAACACUGACGCUGAAGCACGAAAGCGUGGGGAGCAAACAGGAUUAGAUACCCUGGUAGUCCACGCCCUAAACGAUGCGAACUGGAUGUUGGUCUCAACUCGGAGAUCAGUGUCGAAGCUAACGCGUUAAGUUCGCCGCCUGGGGAGUACGGUCGCA
rnacentral:rRNA from 1 species